AUCAUCAUCAUCGAGUAGCUCAACAAAUACAUUUUUUUAUGAAGAUAGUGACGAUUCAGUUAAAGACCCAAACUACGAAGUUGUGGAGCCUCGACGUCUUAAUCAAAGUUCUUCAGAUUCUGAUGAAGAAGUUGGUAAUGUUAACAAAAGACACCACGAUGGUGUUUUACAAGAAAUUGUUAUUCGUGCACCUACAGAAGAACACGAACUGAUUAUUAAUAGGCUUGUACAA
rnacentral:misc_RNA from 1 species